CAGCAGCCGCGGGAAAACGUAGGGUGCAAGCGUUAAUCGGAAUUACUGGGCGUAAAGCGUGCGCAGGCGGUUAUAUAAGACAGAUGUGAAAUCCCCGGGCUCAACCUGGGAACUGCAUUUGUGACUGUAUAGCUAGAGUACGGCAGAGGGGGAUGGAAUUCCGCGUGUAGCAGUGAAAUGCGUAUAUAUGCGGAGGAACACCGAUGGCGAAGGCAAUCCCCUGGGCCUGUACUGACGCUCAUGCACGAAAGCGUGGGGAGCAAACAGGAUUAGAUACCCCAGUAGUCCCUGUCUCUUAUAC
rnacentral:rRNA from 1 species